UGCUUUUGUGGUGUAAUAUAAACACAUUACAUUUUCAAUGUAAAGAUAAGAAUUUAUUCUUUUAAAGUAU
rnacentral:tRNA from 1 species